CCUACGGGAGACAGCAGUGGGGAAUAUUGCACAAUGGGGGAAACUCUGAUGCAGCAACGCCGCGUGAGUGAAGAAGUGUUUCGGCUCGUAAAGCUCUAUCGGCAGGGAAGAAGAUGACGGUAACUGACUAAGAUGCCUCUGCGAACUACGUGACAGCAGGCGAGGUAUUACGUAGGGGGCAAGCGUUCUCCGGAUUUAAUGGGGGUAAGGGGGGCGUAGACGGAGAUGCAAGCAAGAUGUGAAAGCCCGGGGCUCAACCGCGGGAUUGCAUUUGGAACUGUAUGACUUGAGUGACGGAGAGGAGGGCGGAAUUCCUAGUGUAGCGGUGAAAUGCGUAGAUAUUAGGAAGAACACCAGUGGCGAAGGCGG
rnacentral:rRNA from 1 species